rnacentral:sRNA from 1 species
GCAUUUUCAAGUGAACUUUUCAGAUCACCCGUUGUCUGUCGUCCCUCUGUCCAUCUGUAAAAUGUUCACAUUUAUACGUCUUACUGUACUUACUAUACUUAACCAAAUUUCGUACAAAUUAUCCUUAUGGAAAGAGAAUUUUGAAUUGGUAAAACAAAGAGCACAACUUUUUUUUAAAGAGAGAUACUUGCAAAACAGUGAAAAAGCUUUAAAAAAACCCACUGCACUAGAAAUGCCAAUAUUAACACUUAGGCUUGUAUAGAUAGUGUAGAUUCUAAAUUGUGAAAAUUGUGACCCCAGGACUAAUACUUGGGUCCCAAAAGGGGUUCAAAGUUUAACAUGAAAAUAUAUAGAGAUGAUGUUUAAAAUCUUCUUCCCAAGAGCUACAAUGCAACUAUUUGUGAGAUUACUAUGCAAGCAUCCUUAAAUAAUGUAGAUUCUAUUUGUUAAAAUAGUGACCCCAGAACUAAUACUGGGACCCCAAGAGAGUUUUAAGGUUUGAUAUAAAAAUAUAUAGUAUAUACAGUAGAGGUGAAAAGUUUAUCAUAUAAAUAGAUAGGAGAAAGUUUAAAUAUGUAAUUCUCAAGAACAACAAUGUUACAAUUUUUGAGAUUACUAUGCAAGCAUCCGCAAAAAAUGUAGACUCUAAAUUGUUAAAAUAGUGACUCCCAAACUAAUAAUAAUACAGGGAAAAUGUAUAAAAAAUCUUCUUAAGAACUACAAUGCUACAAUGCGAGCAUUCUUAGGAAAGGUAGAUUCUAAAUUGUUUAAAAAGUGACCCCAUGUCUAAUACUGGGACCCCAAGAGAAGUUCAAUGUUUAACUUUGAAAUAUAUGGGGAAAAUAUUUAAAAACUAAAAUAAAAUGAUUCAAUGAACUGUUGUUCAAGUGAGCGAUGUGGCUCAAACUUCCCAGAUAGUGUUUCCUUAGGAAGAGGAUGUGCAGUGACCUUGAAACUUAAAUCAAUUUCAAGAUCAAAGGUCAAACUCUUGGGAGAAGAAUUGUAUAGCUAUCUUAAGCUUAAUCAUGCCACUCGGUAUUGCUAAUGAAUUAUUGGCGUGGAGUGACCAUUGAAUCAAUUUUUGUUAUUCUGUGGGUAGAACAAAACUAGCAAAACUUUUUUCAGUUAAAAUGUCUCUUUCAAAAUUAACCUUUUUGUGCUACACACAUACAUUGUAAUACUUUAGAUUUUAAUGUCCUUUGCUAAAAGCGGGGCCAUUCAACGAAGUCUAGUUACUUUAUAUAUUGUUUACAUUUGGAAAAUGAAAAAAAUUAAAAGUCAAAUAAAUAAAUUAUUUUUACGUAC